UACAGAGGUCCCAAGCGUUGUUCGGAUUCAUUGGGCGUAAAGGGUGCGUAGGCGGCUUUCUAAGUCGGGGGUGAAAUCCUGGAGCUCAACUCCAGAACUGCCUUCGAUACUGGAGAGCUCGAGUCCGGGAGAGGUGAGUGGAACUGCGAGUGUAGAGGUGAAAUUCGUAGAUAUCAGGAGGAACACCGGUGGCGAAGGCGCUGCUCUGGGCCGGUACUGACGCUGAGGAGCGAAAGCGUGGGUAGCAAACAGG
rnacentral:rRNA from 1 species